UACGUGGGGUGCAAGCGUUGCUCGGAAUUAUUGGGCGUAAAGGGUAGGUAGGUGGUCUCAUUUGUCUGGGGUGAAAGCCUUGAGCUUAACUCAAGAAGUGCCCCAGAAACGGUGAGACUGGAGUCCUGGAGAGGGUCGUGGAAUUCCCGGUGUAGCGGUGAAAUGCGUAGAGAUCGGGAGGAACACCAGAGGCGAAAGCGGCGACCUGGACAGGCACUGACACUCAACUACGAAAGCGUGGGGAGCAAACAGG
rnacentral:rRNA from 1 species